rnacentral:rRNA from 1 species
AAUGGGGGAAACCCUGACCCAGCAACGCCGCGUGAAGGAAGAAGGUUUUCGGAUUGUAAACUUCUGUCGCAGGGGACGAAAAAAAUGACGGUACCCUGUGAGGAAGCCCCGGCUAACUACGUGCCAGCAGCCGCGGUAAUACGUAGGGGGCAAGCGUUGUCCGGAAUUACUGGGCGUAAAGGGUGCGUAGGCGGCCAAACAAGUCAGAUGUGAAAUACCCGGGCUUAACUCGGGGGGUGCAUUUGAAACUGUAUGGCUUGAGUGUAGGAGAGGAAAGCGGAAUUCCUAGUGUAGCGGUGAAAUGCAUAGAUAUUAGGAGGAACACCAGUGGCGAAGGCGGCUUUCUGGACUACAACUGACGCUGAUGCACGAAAGCGUGGGGAGCAAA